GGGCGAUUAGCUCAGUGGUCAGAGCGCCCCGCUUACACCGGGGAGGUCGUAGGUUCGACCCCUACAUCGCCCA
rnacentral:tRNA from 1 species